rnacentral:misc_RNA from 1 species
AACUUUUGGCAAUGGAUCUCUUGGCUCUCGCAUCGAUGAAGAACGCAGCGAAAUGCUAUAAGUAAUGUGAAUUGCAGAAUUCAGUGAAUCAUCGAAUCUUUGAACGCACCUUGCGCUCCUUGGUAUUCCGAGGAGCAUGCCUGUUUGAGUGUCAUUAAUAUAUAUCAACCUCUCUCUUGUUGAGUGGUUUGGAUGUGGGGGGUUUGCUGGCCUGUUCAGCUCCUCUGAAAUAUAUUAGCAGAACAAACCUGUUCAUUGGUGUGAUAACUAUCUACGCUAUUGAAUGUGAGGUGCAGUUCAGCUUUCUAACAGUCCUUGGACAAUUUAUCAUUUAUGUGACCUCAAAUCAGGUAGGACUACCCGCUGAACUUAAGCAUAUCAAUAAGCGGAGGCU